UACAGCCAUAUCACAUUGAAACACCAGUUCCCAUACAAUCACCAAAGUUAAGCAACGUCAAGCCUAGUCAGUACCAACAUGAGUGACCACUUAGGAAUAUCAGGUGCUGCAAG